CGAGAUUGAGUCAGCCAGCGGCCGUGACAUCAGCUCGUGGUUUCUCCGCCGAGCGCCCGGGCUUCCUGUUGUGCCCCGGCAGCUCGCCGCGCUCAACAUUUCUCUUUAUUUACGUUUCCACGCGCGCACCUCGGCGCAGAGGGUGCCCACGUUCCUCCCGCUCCUUCCUCCUGCUCCUUCCUCCUCCUCGAGGCGUCUCCAGCCCCGGUUUCCCCCCCCUCAAGCGUUUUUCCUGCAGCCCUCGCCUCUCUUUUUUUCGCAGCCGGGGCCGGCAGCGGGGCCGGAGAGCCGUGCGCCGCGGCGAGGCCCCGCCAAGAGGAUGAGAACAUGGGGCUCAAGUUGUCCUGCCUCAAAGGCUUGAAGACGUGCGUGAGCAGCGGGAACGGCGCCGGGGGGGUCCCGGCAGCGGGCGACAAACACCUACACGUGCCCUCCAUCAUCGUCACACCCCCCACGCCCACGGGGGCCACGCUGUCCCGGGACACCCGGAGAGCCACCGGGGGGACGUCGCCACCCUGCAACCGGCGCUGAGCACUCAGGGGGGCACCGGAGACCCCAAAAUCACCCCGGGGACGACGCUUUUUGGGGAGCAGCUUGGCCAAGAAGCCCCCUUCGCCCCCCCCCAGAGGCUGGUGUGUGAAAGCAGAUGGAAAUUUAAUUUUUUAAUGCCAGCAGCAGAUGGCAAAAGGCGCCCGAGUGUGUUCGCGGCAUGGCACAGCCGUUCAUAAAGCGUCCCGAGGAGC